rnacentral:rRNA from 1 species
AACGAACGCUGGUGGCAUGCCUAAUACAUGCAAGUCGAACGAGAAAGCCCUUCGGGGUGAGUACAGUGGCGCACGGGUGAGUAACGCGUAGGUGACAUGCCUUUUAGUGGGGGACAACAUCGUGAAAACGGUGCUAAUACCGCAUAAGUUAAACGACAUUGAAAAAGUUUAAGAAAGGGGGCUUCGGCUCUCGCUGAAAGAUUGGCCUGCGUGACAUUAGCUUGAUGGUGGGGUAACGGCCUACCAUGGCUUCGAUGUCUAACUGGUCUGAGAGGGUGAUCAGUCACACUGGAACUGAGACACGGUCUAG